rnacentral:lncRNA from 1 species
UGGCUUAUGAGAUUUUGGGUCCGGUGACCCCACCCGAAAGGCGCUCUUUCGAGGCUGUUGUGAGACACGGGCGGCGUAUCAACCAGGUUUUUGAUUUUCUUGACAUCGUCGUGCCACCUCAUCCCGAGGUUAUGGGCAAGAGGCGCCAUCGGGGUGCCGGUGCUGAGCAGAGGAAGAAGGUGAAAUUCGAUUCUGCUCGCAUGACAAAACCUGCUGUUGAGUCACA